rnacentral:rRNA from 1 species
UGGGGAAUAUUGCGCAAUGGGGGAAACCCUGACGCAGCGACGCCGCGUGCGGGAUGAAGGCCUUCGGGUUGUAAACCGCUUUUGAUUGGGAGCAAGCUUUCGGGUGAGUGUACCUUUCGAAUAAGCGCCGGCUAACUACGUGCCAGCAGCCGCGGUAAUACGUAGGGCGCAAGCGUUAUCCGGAAUUAUUGGGCGUAAAGAGCUUGUAGGCGGUUCGUCGCGUCUGGUGUGAAAGCCCAUCGCUUAACGGUGGGUUUGCGCCGGGUACGGGCGGGCUAGAGUGCAGUAGGGGAGACUGGAAUUCCCGGUGUAACGGUGGAAUGUGUAGAUAUCUGGAAGAACACCAAUGGCGAAGGCAGGUCUCUGGGCUGUUACUGACGCUGAGAAGCGAAAGCGUGGGGAGCGAACAGG